AGUGUCGCUGGAUAACGCCGGGGGCGUGUCUUCAGGCACCUGUGGAACGCGGAACCUUUGCAUCUGGCAAGGUUGUCUCCCUUGCAGAGGGAGGUUUACUUUCUUUGGCGGGAGAAGAGAGGUUGUCUGCAGGUCCGGAACGUGAGGCCGUCUCGGUGUCUGGCGCGGCGCGAUGGAGGUAGUGGAGGCUGCGGCCGCUCAGCUGGAAACCCUGAAAUUCAGUGGCCCUGGCUCUGGGGUUGACCAUGGUGCAGAGGUGCAGUCUCCGGACUCAGUUCCCGCGCCGGGGUCGCAGCCGCCGCUGCAGUCGGAAGAGGGUUGCCCAGACGUGAAACAGAUUCAGAUAGUUCAAGCUCCUCUUCUUCCUCAUCGUCUUCUUCCUCAUCUUCCUCUUCCUCUCAUAUAUCACUUCCUCCAGUGUUGACAGAUGGAGAUGAUGAUUUACAAGUUGAGAAAGAAAAUAAGAAUUUUCCUCUUAAAACAAAAGAUGAAUUACUUCUUAAUCUAUAGGGAAAAAAUCCAAUCAUGGCUCUCAAUACUCCAGGGAUGGGAUCCUACUUUCCAACCAUAUCUGAAAAGUGAAGGGUCACCCAGUAGCAUCAGGUGCAGUGCCACUUGAUAUUGGCUGUUCUGCAAUACUUGGAGAGCAUUAUUCUCAAACUGCCAGGAUUACAGCCAACAUAGACCACGGGCCCUGCAGCCAACCAGCCAGCCUCUACAGCAGUGGCAGAGAGGAAACUCAAGCUGUGAUGGCUAGAACUGGAGACUGUGUUCAUUGAAUAGAAAGCUGUGAGCAGAGACUUCCCAGUGUUCCCAGGGCAGCUGCUGCAAUGGAUGUCUGGGCUUGGUGUGAACCAUGGGGUUUGAUUCCUGCUCAGACGUGAAGAAGCCCUGUGAACUGAGUCAGCACAGUGAGGAUAGAGUAUCUACAGAUCCACAGGAAACCUGAGUUACAACAAACUCUCUGAGAUUGACCCUGCUGGCUUUGAGGACUUGCUAAAUCUACAGGAAAUGUACCUCCAUAAUAAUGAGUUGAAGGCCAUACCAUCCCUGGGUGCUGCCUCUCCACACGUGGUGUCACUCUUUCUAAGUCCAGGAAACUCCAGUUACAGUUCCCACGGCAACAGUAAUUUUGUCUGAGGCAUAAGCAACAUUUCUGCUAAAGGAACAUUUCUGCUUUUCCUGUGGCAGUUCUGCACUUACGCCAUGGAGGAGGUUGGUUGUGGUGUGGAGGACUGUUUGGUUUUCAUUCCUGGGAGGAAAGCAGACUGAAAACUGAUUUUCACUCUGAACCCCAUGCAGAGGCCGCCCUGGCUGUGUCUGCCUGGCUUCCUCUCCAGGUGGUGGUGGUACCUGUCAGAACUUGCCUCUUCACCCUGCCACCUCCUUUGCUCUCCCUGACCUGUGUCCACCAGGUGGGAGAUAAAAACAAAAACCAGGUUGACACAGUUACUUGUGUCUUUGUGAAAUUGCUGUCAAAAUUCCUUAGGGGGUGUGUGUGUGUGUGUGUUUAAACACACUGAAAUAUUUCUAAUCUUGAAAAAAAUUUUUGGGGUGGGGCAGUUACUGCGGAUUGAACCCAGGGGCCCUUAACCACUGAGCCACAUCUCCAGCCCUUUUUUUGUAUUUUAUUUAGAGACAGGGGGUCUCAUUUAAGUUGCUGAGGCUGGCUUUGAACUCAUGAUCCUUCUGCCUCAGCCUGGGAUGACAGGCGUGCACCACUGCACUUGGGCUCUUUGGAUUUUUUUGAUUGAGAUGAAAUUAAUGAACUCAACAUUUUAAAUAUUUUGAGGUAUAUACAGUUCAGCUUUUAGUACCUUCUCAAUGGUGUCCAACCAUAACCAGUAUCUAAUGCUAAAACAUUUUUACCACCACAAAAAGAGACCCCCUUCACACCCUCCACCCAUCAGCAUUCACUUCCUGUAUUCCCUUCCUUUCAGCCUCUG